rnacentral:tRNA from 1 species
UCUAACGUGGCAGAAUAUAUGCAAUGAAUUUAAGAUUCAUAUAUAAAUACUUGUAUUUCUUUAGAA